UACGAAGGGGGCUAGCGUUGUUCGGAAUCACUGGGCGUAAAGGGCGCGUAGGCGGCUUUAUAAGUCGGGGGUGAAAGCCUGUGGCUCAACCACAGAAUUGCCUUCGAUACUGUAGAGCUUGAGACCGGAAGAGGUAAGUGGAACUGCGAGUAUAGAGGUGAAAUUCGUAGAUAUUCGCAAGAACACCAGUGGCAAAGGCGGCUUACUGGUCCGGUUCUGACGCUGAGGCGCGAAAGCGUGGGGAGCAAACAGG
rnacentral:rRNA from 1 species